GUCCGGCUCAGAUUGAACGCUGGCGGCAGGCUUAACACAUGCAAGUCGAACGGUAACAUAAAGAAGCUUGCUUCUUUGAUGACGAGUGGCGGACGGGUGAGUAAUGCUUGGGAAUCUAGCUUAUGGAGGGGGAUAACUACGGGAAACUGUAGCUAAUACCGCGUAAUAUCGAAAGAUUAAAGUGUGGGACCUUCGGGCCACAUGCCAUAGGAUGAGCCCAAGUGGGAUUAGGUAGUUGGUGAGGUAAAGGCU
rnacentral:rRNA from 1 species